CCUACGGGUGGCAGCAGUGGGGAAUAUUGCACAAUGGGCGCAAGCCUGAUGCAGCCAUGCCGCGUGUAUGAAGAAGGCCUUCGGGUUGUAAAGUACUUUCAGCGGGGAGGAAGGGCGUAAAGUUCAUACCUUUGCUCAUUGACGCUACCCGCAGAAGCAGCACCGGCUAACUCCGGGCCAGCAGCCGCGGUAAUACGGAGGGUGCAAGCGUUAAUCGGAAUUACUGGGCGUAAAGGGCACGCAGGCGGUUGGUUAAGUCAGAGGUGAAAUCCCCGGGCUCAACCUGGGAACUGCAGCUGAUACUGGCAAGCUUGAGUGUCGGAGAGGGAGGUGGAAUGCCAGGUGUAGCGGUGAAAUGCGUAGAGAUCAGGAGGAAUACCGGUGGCGAAGGCGGCCCACUGGACGAAAACUGACGCUGAGGUACGAAAGCGUGGGGAGCAAACAGGAUUAGAUACCCCAGUAGUC
rnacentral:rRNA from 1 species